UGAUAAAGCCUCCUGCAUUCUGGUUUUUUACAUUCGACUGUUUAACAUGUGAGUCUAGAAACAGCCGUCGUUCACCAAAAGUCAUUGUCCGAAAAGCAACUCUUAUUUUAUCUCUUUCGAGCAGAUCAGUUUUUUUUUAACAGCCCCUGCGGUAUUUGUUAUUACAGGGAGGUAAUAAAGGAUGCUUCUGAAUUUGAUCUAUGAUGCUUUUCUUCUUAUAUUUGUCUUUGGUUGCACAAACUUUAUCUAACAUAUCUUCAAUCACCUGUGUACAAACAGAGAGUAUGUCAGCUUCUUUUUAGUACUUGCUUCCUCUAAAACCGGGCUAUUGCAGACAUUUUCUUGGAUAUUCUUCGAAGAGUCCUUGGCAGGUGCAGAAUCUUGAGCCUUGGUAAGAUCCAGUUUUGUACUCAAACUUACAAAACCAGUUUCAUGCGAAUCAAAUACAUUUUGCAAAUUAAAAUAUGUCUUAUGCCUCUUAUUUUCGUUCUCAGGCUCUUUUAAAUUAUUGUCCUCAGAACGUCCUCUAAAAACAAAUACAAUCCUUUUUAAAUGUGCAAUUUUUCUUUAUACACUCACAUUUAAAUGAUAUACCAUGAUAAUAAUGAAUAUCUCACACAAGUUUAGUGACGUCUUAAAAUUCGAUAAUUUUAUCACUAUACCUAACAACCACCUUACUAACAGCUCGUUUAGUGGCAGAAAAGUUGCGCAUUU
rnacentral:lncRNA from 1 species